rnacentral:rRNA from 1 species
AACGAACGCUGGCGGCAUGCCUAACACAUGCAAGUCGAACGAGACCUUCGGGUCUAGUGGCGCACGGGUGCGUAACGCGUGGGAACCUGCCCUUAGGUUCGAAAUAACUCCCCGAAAGGGGUGCUAAUACCGGAUAAUGUCUUCGGACCAAAGAUUUAUCGCCUUUGGUUGGGCCCGCGUUGGAUUAGCUAGUUGGUAGGGUAAAAGCCUACCAAGGCGACGAUCCAUAGCUGGUCUGAGAGGAUGAUCAGCCACACUGGGACUGAGACACGGCCCAGACUGAUGGGGGAGGUGGGAGUGGGAAAUAAGGCGGAACGGGGGAACGGACGAGCAAGAAGGGGGGAGUGGGGAGGGAGGGAAUGAGAGUUGUAGAGCGCUGCUGCCGGGGAAUAGGAUGACAGGACGUGGAGCCAAAGCCCCGGCAAACUGAGUGCCCGCAGCGGGUCUAAUAGUCGGACGGGAAGAGGCCUGAAC